rnacentral:rRNA from 1 species
UCGAGGAUCUUUUGCAAUGCGCGAAAGCGUGACAAAGCGACGCUGCGUGGAGGAUGAAGGCCUUCGGGUUGUAAACUCCUGUUGUUCGGGAAAAACGGCAGGCAUACUAAUACUAUGCCUGAGUGAUGGUACCGGAAAAGAAAGCCACGGCUAACUCUGUGCCAGCAGCCGCGGUAAUACAGAGGUGGCAAGCGUUGUUCGGAUUUACUGGGCGUAAAGGGUGCGUAGGUGGUUCCGUGUGUCGGGUGUGAAAUCCCACCGCUCAACGGUGGAACGUCACCCGAAACUGCGGGACUAGAGUGCAGGAUGGGAGAGCGGAAUUCUUGGUGUAGCGGUGAAAUGCGUUGAUAUCAAGAAGAACACCGGUGGCGAAGGCGGCUCUCUGGAAUGCUACUGACACUGAGGCACGAAAGCUGGGGGAGCAAACA